UUAUUUCCUCUUGGAACAGAAAGUAUCACACUCAACCUCUUAAAUAUACCUUCCUCUUCUGUAGCUGGAUGCACCUUGUGAAUUAACCUGUUGCUAUUUUCUCUAGAUUGCUAGCUCACAAUUUUUGGAUCAAUGUACCACUGUUGAUUCUCAGAAUUCUUAUAGACCACACUGCACUAUUGCAUACAUGAGUCACACACAUCAUAAUGCUAACACUAUACAGAGAACACACAGAAAAAUAUAUAAUCUUGGUUUUUAAUCCAUAGACCCAAUAAUGCUGUCUUUAAAUGUUUGAGUUUUGUAGACAGAUGUCCAUAUAACACCAGCAGUUCUUACAUCACAAUUGAGAAGCUUCUGUUUUAAAUUAAUUAAGAGUGAUUAAAAAUUCUAGAACUUGUAGAAGUGGAAAACUAAUUUCAAGGGGUCUGGAAAUUUUCUCUCAAUGGUCACAAUCAUUUCAACUCCUCAAACGCAUUUCUUUUCCAUUAAUCAAUGUCCUUGUCACAGCUACUAUCCCUGUGGUAAGCAACGAUGACUUCAAAUUCCUAGACUGUACACAAAAUAUUUUAUCCUGAAAUGAACUGCUAUUAAGAGAAAGCAUCUUCUGCAAACCUUCUUUCUUAUAGCUCCCAAUUAUGUGUAUUUAACACUUGCACACCCUUUCAAGAUGAUCUUCCCUAUAGCUGUUAUUAAAAAUAAACCUCAAAAACCACCCUCCCAAACAAGAAACAAAGAAACAGGAAAUCAGUAUUAUAUUCCAUCAUCUCUCUAAAAUAUUGGCAGUUUAACCCCCAGUUUAAUAGGCAAGAAUCAACAGUGGAACACACUCCAUUUUAUACUCUAAAGAAACGAUUGUACAUUUUUUUUUUUAAUAUUUGCUUUCAUUUCACUUUAGUUCACAUGUACAAUUCACGUCCCUUUAAAAACAACAUCAUUUGAAGCCAACCCUUGCACAGACCCUGAUAUAGGGGUGGCGGUAAUUGGAAGUAAGGGAAAUACUGAAAUGUGGGAAUAGAUUACAGUGAAUUGCAGUACACUUCCCAUACAAAUGUAUAAACUUCUCUCUACUCUUGAGUCAGUCACAGAUUUGCAUCUCUCUGUUUUCACAUCUGCCUAUAUGUAUAAUAUUUUUUUUCUUUUAUUUUUCCUAUUCAUAUAUAAUGGCCCCUAUUCAUAUCACUAUUCAGAUUACCCUCAUCUGGACAGAAAAAAAAGGCAAGUCAGAAGAUAUAUUUCAAUUUCAAGCAUUCAACAGUAAAGAAAUCCCUGGAUUAAGAUUGCCUGUUCUGCAGCAGACACGGAAUCAUAAAGCAAUCUUCCACCCAAGUCUUAGAAGAAAUGCAUUCCUAACCACCACAACAGCCACUUUCUCCACAGCAAUUCUAGGAUGCAAAAGUAUUAGAGGUCUGAGAAGCAGUAUGAAACUUUAAAUUCAUCAUAUGAUGGAUAUUCAGAAGAGGUCCAACAGGGUAUCCAAUCCCUUUGUAACUGUCAUCCAGAACAAUAUUAAAGGAGAAUAUUUUCUCAAAGAGGAAGGAUGUGCUGGCCUAUUUGUGUCUCUUACGGUGAUGAAUAAAUCCUCAUCUCAUCUCCUCUCCUCUGCUCUGCUCUGUUCUCCUGUCCUCAGAGUAGGAUUAAUUCAGUUUAAAAACAGCUAUUGAUCUUUAAGUGAAUGAGUGUAUUUCAUAACUUAAUUUUAUCAUCCUAAACAGAUGGCGUAUUUGAGCAUUUAAGUAAUAUACGGAGUCCCCAUGUAGUGGAGAAAUGUAUGUAUAAUACACAAAUUUGAAAAUGUAGUCUUCUGUAUUGAUGUAUGAAAAUCACUACUAUUUGUUGCAAGGUAGUAUGAACACAACAGUAUUUUAACAAAUGAAUAUAUAACUUAUAAAACUGUAUCAAAUAUAUGUAUACACACACAGAGACACAUUAUUCAGAAUAAAUAAAGGAAAUAGUGAAUUGCAAAAUUGUUAUCCUGUAGGAGGGAUUCACAGUGUCACAAACGACGACAAAAAAACAAAAACAAUAAUACUGUUCAAUGGAAUAAAAGUUUAAUUCACACUG